UACGUAGGGGGCAAGCGUUGUCCGGAAUUAUUGGGCGUAAAGCGCGCGCAGGCGGCUUGGUAAGUCUAGCGUUUAAGCUCGGGGCUCAACCCCGAUACGCGCCGGAAACUGCCAGGCUUGAGUGCAGAAGAGGAAGUGGAAUUCCACGUGUAGCGGUGAAAUGCGUAGAGAUGUGGAGGAACACCAGUGGCGAAGGCGACUUCUGGGCUGUAACUGACGCUGAGGCGCGAAAGCGUGGGGAGCAAACAGG
rnacentral:rRNA from 1 species